AACGAACGCUGGCGGCAGGCCUAACACAUGCAAGUCGAACGGAUGUAGCAAUACAUUAGUGGCGCACGGGUGCGUAACGCGUGGGAACAUGCCCUUGGGUAAGGAAUAAUGUCUGGAAACGGACACUAAUACCUUAUAAUGACUUCGGUCCAAAGAUUUAUCGCCCAGGGAUUGGCCCGCGUUAGAUUAGCUAGUUGGUG
rnacentral:rRNA from 1 species